GGCAAUCAUCCUGACGCUUCUUCCGGCCGUCCCCUUUCCUUCGUGCAUGCCAGUUGCGUGCGCAUCAUGGCCCCACGCAAACGAUGACCCGGUGGCAAUUACGACGCAUCUUCGUGCAUCUACUAUCAACGGAACUACACAAUCGGCAUCGCCCUCGCUGUUCCUGGAUCUCGGUCAAGCCAAUCAAGCACCAUCGUCAUCGACAGCCGCCUUCACGGCAGCUAUAAAUCCUCCGCAUCUGUGCGACUCGUUUCGUGGGCUAAGCGGCUGUGCCUCUAGCAUGUCCACUAACCCGCUGCUCUUCGCCAUGCAGGUUUGCGCAUCGAUCCUGAUUCUAGCCUCCGCCACAUCGCCGGUUAUGGGGGACAUUGGACGGCAGCGCUCCGAUUCCCCUGCUCCGAUCGACGAAAUGCUGUGGCAGCUUCCUGGAUUCAUCGCCGACACCCAUCGCCGUGCACCAAAUAUGACUGAUCAUCGCCUCGUGGAAAACGACCCCUGCGCACCAUCGAUGAGCACAGUGACGUCAUACCAUCGUGAUACGUCACGGAUCCUGCCAGCUAUAAAUCUGCUACCGAGACCUACGAUCAUCAGUGGACACGGCAGCCCUGCCGUGACGAUGUCACCUGAAGUGCCUUUGCAUGUGCAGAUUCGGCUUUCCGACACUCCAGGAGGACGUGGAGGACGGUAAGCCGCCUCCGCAUCUAGCCGCCUCGCAUCUACCGCAGGCUGGAGGGUCACUUCCG